UCCCUGGUGGUCCAGUGGCUAAGAUUCUGUGCUUCUGCCACAGGGUGCAAGGGUUCGAUUCCUGCCUGGGGAA
rnacentral:tRNA from 1 species